CCGGGCAGACGAGUCAAUGAAGCGGCUCCCAGUCCCGCGCGCGGCUGAGCGGCUGAGCGGCACGGCCGUUCCGGGAAACGGGCCCUUCACGUCCUCUGUGGAGGCCACCGAGAGCCCUCGCACCCCCAGAGGGUGUGCCGCGGGACACCCGCGCGGUACCAGGUGCACCCUUGGAGGCCAGGCUGUCGCUGGUGGAAACGUCCUCGCCGCGCACCGCGGGGCUGCAGUUGAAGGCGGGGGUUGGAAGAAAACAGGAAGAAGUCGUUCGAGCUUGGGUUUCCCCCCAGCGGACCUGAGGCGAGCAUUUGGGUACAACGGGAGUACGGGGCUCGUGCCUGAGCAGGUGUCCAGAGGGCCACAGGGGCUCAGUCUCGCUGAGGACACUCGAGACCGCGUGGAAUCCGCCGCAGCACUGUCCCCAAGAGGCGAGAAGGUGGGGUGCGCACCCAGCCCGCCCACCGCACCCACAGCCCCGCAGGCGGCGAAACCACUGAGCUAAAUCCCCGGCCCAAUAUCCACCUGGGUUAUCAGGCUCCUGAGUCCAGUAUAAAUUUACUCCUAAUGAUUUCAAACCCAUCAGUAAAAUAUGAAGAUGCUGUGGAACCUGUGUGUACCACGAUGAGGGGCUUGGCAGCCUGUGGGAGCUGUAUGGGGUGCAGGGCAGUGCAUGAAGCUGGAGCCCAAGAGGCAGUGAUGCCGGGAAUGCAGGACCCUGGGUACAUGAGUUGGGCUUAGGGUUUCAGUCUGUACCUGUAAAAUGAGAAAAUGAAUUAAAUGUCUCAAAUAUCUACACA
rnacentral:lncRNA from 1 species